rnacentral:sRNA from 1 species
AGACCUUUAUAAUGCCUACGGACAGGCGGGUCGAAUGCCGA